ACUAAUAAUAGGAUUUAUUGGCUUAUCACGUGUAACCAAUAGGUGGCGCUGUUACCAAAUUAGUUUGGAAUGGUCAGUGUGAGGUGACGAUGACACAUACAAAGUUUGGUGCAAAUAUGUCAAAGCUUUGCUGAGAUACAGCCUCAAAUGCAUUUUGGAACCCUUCCAGCAGCUUCGUUGAUGCGCUAAAUGAGAACAGUUUCGUAUAUCGAAACGAAAUCCAUAACAUUUUGCCAGCAUGGUCUGAAGAUGAUCCACGUCAAAUUUGGUGAAAAUCUGACUAACGGUCUAGGAGGAGUUCGAAAAAGUAAGUUUUCAACAUUAAUCAAAAUGGCGGACAGGAAGUUCAGCCAAAUAAGGAAAACUUUGUAUCUAUGUUCUCGACUUGACCCAAGGAAUCUAAAAAGACCAGCGUCAUGUCAAUAGCCAGAUUUAUUCAAAAGUUAUUAGCCUUUAUUUAAAUUGAGUUAUAACUGUUGACCACUAGGUGGCGGUGUUUCAAAAUAUUUUGAGUACCUUCAGGGGAUGGUGUUGUUGGCACAUUCUGAGUUUCGUAAUAUUACAUCAAUGCAUUUGUUUAGUAUUGCAUUUUAUUUCACAAAACUGUAUUGAAGUCAAUGAUAAUUUCAUAUUUUGUUCUAUUAUAGCGCCACCAAGAGGCUCAGUCCCACCAUUUCUUUUUAUGUGUGCUCAGAGUGAGCCCAUACAUAUGUGUGUCAAUUUUGGUGAAAAUAUCUCAAUUCACUUCAGAGUUAUAGACAUUUAUAUGAAAAAGCACGUAAAAAAUGACUGACUCUUGACUUUGAUUGAAUAUUACUACACCUUACCAUCAAUAUUUUGGCAUUUGGGCAUUGGCAUAUAGCUAUCGACCUAUGUUUCCGAACUUCUGACGGUGGUUUCGUCUCGAUCAGACAAGUGGUUUCGAAGAUAUAGCCAGAUGUUUUUUAAGCGCUAAAUCACAACGCUACACAAACCGUAAGGCGAAACCUAGCAUGUUUGGUAUCGUAGGACUCUGUAAGGUUUCAGGAGUCUAAUUUGGUGAGUCUCGAGAAAAUAAGUCGACCACACCCAAGGUU